AGUCAAGUUAAAAGUCUUCUCUGCACUCAGACAGUUCAAAUGUAAUAUGCGAUUCCCUGCUAUAAAAAUAGCACAUCUCUGCAAAAGAAAGAAAACAAUGAAGGCCAUAGUGGUGAAACAUACUGGAGGGGAUUCAUCUUCACUUCCUCAUUUUUUGGUAAUGGUCAAAUGAGCCAAUUCAGAUCACUAAACAGUUGGCAUUUUCCUUCAUUGCACAAUGAAACUGGCAGCUGCUCAAAGACUAAUCAUGGGGUUCCUUUACAACUUCCACGUGGACCCAGGAUAAAA